CUGAAGUAUUUAAUAAUUCUAUCAUUUUGUUUAGUUUCUAAUCACAAAAUGGUGUUUUCCUGUAUAAUCCAUACAAAAUGUGUCAUUUUGUCCCGUCCUGUAGCUUGAGAAAAUGCGCGGUGACCUAUCAUUUUUAUUAUAUUUUUCAACAUGUAUCAAUAGAUACAACAUUUUGGCAAAGUAUGAACAAAUUCUAUCAUUUUUAUUUUAGACUCCCAUACCACCUUAA
rnacentral:lncRNA from 1 species